rnacentral:sRNA from 1 species
GGUUGAUGGGGUCAUUUGAGUUUAUGUUAAGGGCCCAUAGCUCAGGCGGUUAGAGUGCACCCCUGAUAAGGGUGAGGUCGGUAGUUCGAAUUUACCUGGGCCCACCAUUCAAUCAGGCAAGGGGCCGUAGCUCAGCUGGGAGAGCGCCUGCUUUGCAAGCAGGAUGUCAGCGGUUCGAUCCCGCUCGGCUCCACCAAUUGCGAAUUUAUAGUUUUUUUGUUCUAGGGAUUUUUUUUUAGAGCAAUAGUUUUUUGAAAAUUGAAUAGAAGGUAGAUUUUUUUGUAUUUUUUAUAUUGGCAUUGUAUGCGAUAUGGGAGGUACCGACGUUGUAUAACCGCACGUUGAAGAUUUAUCUCAGGAAAUUGGUCUAUUGAAAGAGCAUAAUUUAUUUAUGUUUUUUUAAUUAAGAAACGUUUGUAAUGAACUUUAUGACGUAUUGACAAUGAGAGUGAUCAAGCGCGAUAAGGGCAUUUGGUGGAUGCCUUGGCAUGCACAGGCGAUGAAGGACGUAAUACGCUGCGAUAAGCUACGGGGAGCUGCAAAUGAGCAUUGAUCCGUAGAUUUCCGAAUGGGGCAACCCACCUUAGGUGUCUAGGAAAGUAUACUAUUAAGGUUUAAUUUUCUAGGUACUUGAAGGUAUCUUUACCUGAAUAAAAUAGGGUAAAAGAAGCGAACGCAGGGAACUGAAACAUCUAAGUACCUGUAGGAAAGGACAUCAAUUGAGACUCCGUUAGUAGUGGCGAGCGAACGCGGAUCAGGCCAGUGGUAGGGAAGAUUUAAGUAGAAUUAUCUGGGAAGGUAAGCCAUAGAAGGUGAUAGCCCCGUACACGUAAUAAUUUUUUCUAUCCUUGAGUAGGGCGGGACACGUGAAAUCCUGUUUGAAGAUGGGGCGACCACGCUCCAAGCCUAAGUACUCGUGCAUGACCGAUAGUGAACCAGUACCGUG